AUGCCUGAAAUCUUGACUCAGUCC
rnacentral:miRNA from 10 species